AAGUAAAGAGGAGAAGUUACCUUAGCCUUUGUGGGAUGGAUCAGACCGUUGGAAAGGAUAAGAGAGAGUCUUGGACAGGCUGUCACAGCUGGAAAGUGAAAGCAAAAGGCAUCAGCCAGCUAGAGAUGACUCACACGGAUUGAUCAUCUCAUUGGAUGGUUUUGAGUUAGGCCUUAACUCCACAUGCUUAUCUUAUCCUCUUGUUUACGAAAACCCUAAGCUCUCUCUUCAUAUAAAUAUGUAAACUCUCUCAUUAAUAAGAUUAAGCAAGUUAUGAGUCUCUCUUAGUCUUUAUUCUCUCAAUGGUUCUAUAC
rnacentral:lncRNA from 1 species